GCGGGAGUAACUCAGUGGUAGAGUGCCACCUUGCCAAGGUGGACGUCGCGGGUUCAAAUCCCGUCUCCCGCUCCA
rnacentral:tRNA from 2 species